UACGUAGGGAGCAAGCGUUGUCCGGAAUCAUUGGGCGUAAAGCGCGCGUAGGCGGCCCUGUAAGUCCGUUGUGAAAGUCAAAGGCUCAACCUUUGAAAGCCGAUGGAUACUGCAGGGCUAGAGUCCGGAAGAGGCGAGUGGAAUUCCUGGUGUAGCGGUGAAAUGCGCAGAUAUCAGGAGGAACACCGAUUGCGAAGGCAGCUCGCUGGAACGUUACUGACGCUGAGACGCGAAAGCGUGGGGAGCAAACAGG
rnacentral:rRNA from 1 species